UCUUUUCCUUUUUUUCCAGCAGCCGCGGUAAUACGUAGGGGGCAAGCGUUAUCCGGAAUUACUGGGUGUAAAGGGUGCGUAGGUGGUAUGGCAAGUCAGAAGUGAAAACCCAGGGCUUAACUCUGGGACUGCUUUUGAAACUGUCAGACUGGAGUGCAGGAGAGGUAAGCGGAAUUCCUAGUGUAGCGGUGAAAUGCGUAGAUAUUAGGAGGAACAUCAGUGGCGAAGGCGGCUUACUGGACUGAAACUGACACUGAGGCACGAAAGCGUGGGGAGCAAACAGG
rnacentral:rRNA from 1 species